AACGCACAUUGCGCCCCCUGGUAUUCCGGGGGGCAUGCCUGUUCGAGCGUCAUUACACCCCUCAAGCUCUGCUUGGUAUUGGGUCCCGCCGUUUCCGGCGGGCCUUAAAAUCAGUGGCGGUGCCACCUGGCUCCAAGCGUAGUAAUUUUCUCGCUACGGGGCCCGGGCGUGUACCGGCCAGCAACCCCCCACUUUUCAGGUUGACCUCGGAUCAGGUAGGGAUACCCGCUGAACUUAA
rnacentral:misc_RNA from 1 species